AGUGAACGCUGGCGGUAGGCCUAACACAUGCAAGUCGAACGGCAGCACAGUAAGAGCUUGCUCUUACGGGUGGCGAGUGGCGGACGGGUGAGGAAUACAUCGGAAUCUACUUUUUCGUGGGGGAUAACGUAGGGAAACUUACGCUAAUACCGCAUACGACCUACGGGUGAAAGCAGGGGAUCUUCGGACCUUGCGCGAUUGAAUGAGCCGAUGUCGGAUUAGCUAGUUGGCGGGGUAAAGGCCCACCAAGGCGACGAUCCGUAGCUGGUCUGAGAGGAUGAUCAGCCACACUGGAACUGAGACACGGUCCAGACUCCUACGGGAGGCAGCAGUGGGGAAUAUUGGACAAUGGGCGCAAGCCUGAUCCAGCCAUACCGCGUGGGUGAAGAAGGCCUUCGGGUUGUAGAGCCCUUUUGUUGGGAAAGAAAAGCAGCAGGUGAAUACCCCGCUGUUCUGACGGUACCCAAAGAAUAAGCACCGGCUAACUUCGUG
rnacentral:rRNA from 1 species